rnacentral:misc_RNA from 1 species
GAUGAAGAACGCAGCGAAAUGCGAUACUUGGUGUGAAUUGCAGAAUCCCGUGAACCAUCGAGUCUUUGAACGCAAGUUGCGCCCGAAGCCAUUAGGCCGAGGGCACGCCUGCCUGGGCGUCACACGUCGUUGCCCCCCCCCCAUCUACUCCUUCGGGAUUGCGGGGGGCGGAUGAUGGCCUCCCGUGCGCCUCGCCGCGCGGUUGGCAUAAAUGCCAAGUCCUCGGCGACGCACGCCACGACAAUCGGUGGUUGCGAAACCUCGGUUGCCCGUCGUGUGCGGUCGUCGCGCAUCGAGGGCUCGAAAAAAUUGCCGAGUUCCGGCUCGGCUUUCAACGCGACCCCAGGUCAGGCGGGGUUACCCGCUGAAUUUAAGCAUAUCAAUAAGCGGAGGA